CCUGGCUCAGGAUKAACGCUGGCGGCGUGCUUAACACAUGCAAGUCGAACGAACCUUCGGGUUAGUGGCGGACGGGUGAGUAACGCGUGGGAAUCUGCCCUCAGGAGGGGGAUAACGGUUGGAAACGACCGCUAAUACCCCAUAUGCCGAGAGGUGAAACGAAUUUCGCCUGAGGAUGAGCCCGCGUCUGAUUAGCUAGUUGGUGGGGUAAAGGCCUACCAAGGCAUCGAUCAGUAGCUGGUCUGAGAGGAUGAUCAGCCACACUGGGACUGAGACACGGCCCAGACUCCUACGGGAGGCAGCAGUGGGGAAUUUUCCGCAAUGGGCGCAAGCCUGACGGAGCAACGCCGCGUGAGGGAUGAAGGCCUCUGGGCUGUAAACCUCUUUUCUCAAGGAAGAAGAUCUGACGGUACUUGAGGAAUAAGCCACGGCUAAUUCCGUGCCAGCAGCCGCGGUAAUACGGGAGUGGCAAGCGUUAUCCGGAAUUAUUGGGCGUAAAGCGUCCGCAGGCGGCCUUGAAAGUCUGUCGUUAAAGCGUGGAGCUUAACUCCAUUUCGGCGGUGGAAACUACAAGGCUUGAGUGUGGUAGGGGCAGAGGGAAUUCCCGGUGUAGCGGUGAAAUGCGUAGAUAUCGGGAAGAACACCAGUGGCGAAGGCGCUCUGCUGGGCCAUAACUGACGCUCAUGGACGAAAGCUAGGGGAGCGAAAGGGAUUAGAUACCCCUGUAGUCCUAGCCGUAAACGAUGAACACUAGGUGUCGGGGGAAUCGACCCCCUCGGUGUCGUAGCUAACGCGUUAAGUGUUCCGCCUGGGGAGUACGCACGCAAGUGUGAAACUCAAAGGAAUUGACGGGGGCCCGCACAAGCGGUGGAGUAUGUGGUUUAAUUCGAUGCAACGCGAAGAACCUUACCAGGGUUUGACAUCCUGCGAAUCCCUUGGAAACUAGGGAGUGCCUUCGGGAGCGCAGAGACAGGUGGUGCAUGGCUGUCGUCAGCUCGUGUCGUGAGAUGUUGGGUUAAGUCCCGCAACGAGCGCAACCCACGUCUUUAGUUGCCAGCAUUUAGUUGGGCACUCUAGAGAGACCGCCGGUGAUAAACCGGAGGAAGGUGUGGAUGACGUCAAGUCAUCAUGCCCCUUACAUCCUGGGCUACACACGUACUACAAUGCUACGGACAAAGGGUUGCAAACUCGCGAGAGCUAGCUAAUCCCAUAAACCGUGGCUCAGUUCAGAUCGUAGGCUGCAACUCGCCUACGUGAAGGAGGAAUCGCUAGUAAUCGCAGGUCAGCAUACUGCGGUGAAUACGUUCCCGGGCCUUGUACACACCGCCCGUCACACCAUGGAAGUUGGCCACGCCCGAAGUCGUUACUCCAACCCGCAAGGGAGGAGGAUGCCGAAGGUGGGGCUGAUGACUGGGGUGAAGUCGUAACAAGGUAGCCGUACCGGAAGGUGCGGCUGGAUCACCUCCU
rnacentral:rRNA from 1 species